GAGUUUGAUCGUGGCUCAGAUUGAACGCUGGGGGCAUGCCUUACACAUGCAAGUCGAACGGCAGCAUGAUCUAGCUUGCUAGAUUGAUGGCGAGUGGCGAACGGGUGAGUAAUACAUCGGAACGUGCCCUGUAGUGGGGGAUAACUAGUCGAAAGAUUAGCUAAUACCGCAUACGACCUGAGGGUGAAAGUGGGGGACCGCAAGGCCUCAUGCUAUAGGAGCGGCCGAUGUCUGAUUAGCUAGUUGGUGGGUAAAGGCCCACCAAGGCGACGAUCAGUAGCUGGUCUGAGAGGACGAUCAGCCACACUGGGACUGAGACACGGCCCAGACUCCUACGGAGGCAGCAGUGGGGAAUUUUGGACAAUGGGCGAAAGCCUGAUCCAGCAAUGCCGCGUGUGUGAAGAAGG
rnacentral:rRNA from 1 species